CCCUUAGAUGUUCUGGGCCGCACGCGCGCUACAAUGAUUGUCUCAGCAUGUUUUGGGUGUGUAAAUACCCAGGAAUCCCGAGUAACAAUCGUGAUGGGGCUAGACCCUUGCAAUUUUUGGUCUCCAACGAGGAAUUCCUAGUAAAGGCAGGUCAUUAACCUGCCUUGAUUACGUCCCUGCCCUUUGUACACACCGCCCGUCGCACCUACCGAUUGAACGGUCCGGUGAAAUCUCCAGACGUGGUUUUACCAUGAAAGCUGAUUGAACCUUAUCAUUUAGAGGAAGGUGAAGUCGUAACA
rnacentral:rRNA from 1 species